rnacentral:rRNA from 1 species
GUAGGGAAUAUUGCACAAUGGGCGAAAGCCUGAUGCAGCGACGCCGCGUGAGUGAUGAAGGUUUUCGGAUUGUAAAGCUCUGUUCUGGGGGACGAAAAAAAUGACGGUACCCCAGAAGAAAGGACCGGCUAACUUCGUGCCAGCAGCCGCGGUAAGACGAGGGGUCCUAGCGUUGCUCGGAAUUAUUGGGCGUAAAGCGGGUGUAGGCGGCUUUGUAAGUCAGGAGUGAAAGUCCUGGGCUCAACCCGGGAAGUGCUUUUGAUACUGCUUAGCUUGAGUGUGGGAGAGGAUAGUAGAAUUCCUGGUGUAGUGGUGAAAUACGUAGAUAUCAGGAGGAACACCGGUGGGGAAGCCGGCUAUCUGGCCCAACACUGACGCUCAGACCCGAAAGCAUGGGGAUCAAACAGGAUUAGAAACCCGAGUAGUCC